rnacentral:rRNA from 1 species
AGUCGACGGGGUUUAUAUGAUGGAACUCUCCGGAGGGAAGUUAUAUAAACCUAGUGGCGGACGGGUGAGUAACGCGUGGGGAACCUGCCCUGUACCGGGGGACAACAGCCAGAAAUGGCUGCUAAUACCGCAUAAUCCUGCGCUGCCGCAUGGCAGCGCAGGGAAAACUCCGGUGGUACAGGAUGGUCCCGCGUCUGAUUAGCUUGUUGGCGGGGUAACAGCCCACCAAGGCGACGAUCAGUAGCCGGCUUGAGAGAGCGGACGGCCACAUUGGGACUGAGACACGGCCCAGACUCCUGCGGGAGGCAGCAGUGGGGAAUAUUGCACAAUGGGGGGAACCCUGAUGCAGCAAUGCCGCGUGGGUGAAGAAGUACCCCGGUAUGUAAAGCCCUGUCAGCAGGGAAGAAAAUGACGGUACCUGACUAAGAAGCCCCGGCUAACUACGUGCCAGCAGCCGCGGUAAUACGUAGGGGGCGAGCGUUAUCCGGAUUUACUGGGUGUAAAGGGAGCGCAGGCGGCGUGGCAAGUCAGAUGUGAAAACCCGGGGCCCAACCCCGGGACUGCAUUUGAAACUGCCAUGCUGGAGUGCCGGAGAGGCAAGUGGAAUUCCUAGUGUAGCGGUGAAAUGCGUAGAUAUUAGGAGGAACACCAGUGGCGGAGGCGGCUUGCUGGACGGUAACUGACGCUGAGGCUCGAAAGCGUGGGGAGCAAACAGGAUUAGAUACCCUGGUAGUCCACGCC